UCAGGCUCGAGGGGGCUGCCGCCCUCACGUUAAGGAAAAAGAAAGUAACUCGACGCUCCGAGAGCUUAAGCCUCACCCGGCAGACGCGGAGCCAGAUCCCGGGCCCAGGGAGCAACGUCCUCAUCCGCAAGCCAGCUCCCGGGGAGAGGAAGCCACGGAGAAGCCAGCCGGCCCCUGGAGCUUCGGGGACCCUCCCUUUCCUCAAGAGAGAGAAUGAGCCAGAGAAGGGCAGAGAGAAGAAGAGAGAGAGAAAAUCCGA